rnacentral:antisense_RNA from 1 species
UCUAGCUAUGUUUUUGCUCACCGAAGCUAAAUAUACAUAGGAAUUGAUUCCACAGCCAUGGAAUUGAGAAAAACCAGGAAGUGAUGCUGAAAACAUAAAUAAAUGAUCCAUGAUCUGUUGCUCUAAACGCCGUUUCUCCUGGAGAACCUUAAAGAUAAAUAUGCAACCCUUUACAUUCUCCAGUGAUGUCAACAGCCUAAGCUGAAUUUCAAAUUACAUCGAGUCAAUGAAAAGGUGAAUGGAUUUUUAGAGCAACUCAGAUUCAAAGAAUCAAAUUGCCUUUAUUCUUAUUUUAAGGAACAUGACUGAUAACCUGUGCAGAAAAUAAAAAAAAAACUAACUAUAGCAAUCGCAGCAUAUGUUUAACCUAACAAUUAAAAAUAUAUAACUGAAAAUUACAAUAAAAA